UCCCUUCCCUCCAUUUCCACUCUCCUCGAUUUCUGAAUUUUUUUUUCUUCCCUCUCUCUCUCUCUCUCUCUCUCUCUAGAAUUUCGUUUCUUUGAAGCGGCGAUACAGAGAGAAAGAAGCCAUUGAAUCAUCUCGAGUUUUCAGGAGGCGUGUUUUCGAGCUCCGGAGAGAGCACAAAAUCAGAAGCACUUUGAGGACAGCGAAGAGUCGAGCUUCUUCUUGCUCAUUUUAAUGGAGGAAAGAGUUAGCGAGUCGGUGAGGUUUCCCUAGGGGUAUUUCUCACGGCGUUUUCUAGUUCCGUUUCCUUGAGAUUUACGUUGCGAUGACUGGUUGACUGAUUGGACUCUCCGUGAUUUCUUGGGCGAUUCAUCGAGACGGUGAUCUGGACGUCUUCAAUCAUCCCUGCCAUUUCCCCCCCUCAAGAUGGACUCUGUAAAAUCUUCUUCUCUCACUCCAAAUAAGAGUAGAUUGGCACGCACAUUUACCAAAGUUCUUCAUAUUCGAGCUCUAACUGGGAUAGCACCUGUUCAUGAGACUCAGAAAGUUAAGCCGCAAGAAAAGAUCAGUGAUGAUUGUACAGCAAGUAAGAGUGCUGGGAUAGCACCUGUGCACGGGACUCAGAAAGUUAAGCCGAAAGAAAAGAUCAGCGAUGAUUGUACAGCAAGUAAGAGUACAGGUAGUCAAUCUGAGUCUUUUGAUAGUGUCGAAGAAGAGUUCCAGAAUAGAGUCCAAUUGCAAGCAUUGGUAGCAAAAUUGUUUGCUAGUAUCUCAUCAGUCAAAGCUGCAUAUUCCCAGUUACAGUAUGCUCAAUCCCCUUAUGAUGCCGAAGGUAUUCAAGAUGCUGAUCACUAUGUUAUCUCAGAAUUGAAAGUUUUGUCUGAAUUGAAACAGUGUUACCUUAAAAAACAGUUUGAUCCUUCACCAGAAACCACAAUGCUCUUGGCUGAAAUUCAGGAGCAGAAGAGUCUUGUGGGAACAUAUGACAUAAUGGGGAAAAGAUUGGAAUCCCAAACAAGACUUAAGGACUCCGAAAUUAUGUUUCUGAGAGAGAAGAUCGACGAAAUUAGAAAACAGAAUAGGUUGCUUGAGAAAAGUUUAAAUCAAAGUGGGCCGAUUUCUUUCACUGGUGAUCUUCACUCAUCAGGAGUAAACGUGAGCCAUUUCAUUAAAGUUCUUGGGCAUACAAUAAAGUCUGUUCGAAGUUUUGUCCGGAUGAUGGUGGAUGAAAUGAGAUCUUCUGGUUGGGAUGUUAAUGCAGCUGCAACGGAAAUCGAACCCGAUGCUGUUUAUUGGCAUGAUGAUCAUAGAUGCUUUGCAUUCGAGGCAUUUGUUUUCAGGGAAAUGUUCGACUCCUUCCAUAAACUCAAUUUUUCUCUCCCAAAUGAAUCCUUGCCCGAAAAAAGGAAACAGAAGCAAUUUUUCUUUGCAAGAUUCAUGGAGCUGAAGCUAAGGAAAACAAAAGAUUUUCUUUCACAAAAUUCUAGGACAGCCUUUGCCAAAUUUUGUCGGGUUAAGUAUUUGCGACUCGUUCAUCCCAAAAUGGAAUCAUCAUUAUUUGGUAAUUUGGACCAGAGAAGCCUAAUCAGCUCCGGUCAAUUCCCAGAUACAACUUUCUUUGGUACAUUUGCAGAGAUGGCAAGGUGGGUGUGGCUCCUACAUUCGUUAGCUUACUCCAUUGAACCGGAGGCUUCCAUUUUUCAAAUAAAGAAAGGAAGCCGAUUCUCAGACGUCUACAUGGAAAGCGUAAUUGAUGAAAUGUUCCUUUCACCAGAUUCUGACCCAUUUGUAGCAUUCACUGUCGUUCCUGGGUUCAUGAUUGGUAAAACUGCAAUCCAGUGCCGGGUCUAUCUCUCACAGUGACCAUUUCUUUAUUAUGGGAACAACAGUAUAUUAUCUUUUACCAACAACCACAGGCACCAACUCAAAGAUCAAGCUGUUCAACAAUGUACUUCUCUCGAUUGAACAAAGAUGGUGGACAAGCUGCUGCACAUAUUGUGACGGAGUGGCAAACAUCCUCCUUAGCCGUGCAGUCAAAACGAGUAAGUGCAAUUUUCUAGCGAUUUUGGAAGUGAAACCGCGUGAACUGAAGUUAAUUGUCUUAUUUAUCUCGAUUUAAAACCAUCCCAUCAAAUUUGUUAAUAUUAUUAUAGGGUCAGUGACAGAGGAAUGGUCUGGCUGUUGUGCAACAGAACCAGCCAAUGCAUGUACAUGGUCGGUGAUGUUGGGCCAUGUGACUGCAAAGCCUUGCCACAUUCUUUGUUUUCUAUACAAAAGAAAGGCCAUGGUCUGUGAUGGGCUCUUUGAUUUAGUGUCCUCUUGGGAUAAUCCAAUUAGUACUGGCUUUUCGAUUGUUGGAAAAGGUGAAAAGUCUGAUGUAUAUGGACACUGUUUAAACUUCAAAUCAUGUAUGUACCUUAGAUUAUAAAAAUCAGUGCGAGAACUUUGCAUGUUCAUUGUUGUAGAUGGAUACAUUCAAUUGAUUAUAUGACUGUUCGUUGAAAUAUCAUCAUAGA